UACGGGAGGCAGCAGUGAGGAAUAUUGGUCAAUGGACGAGAGUCUGAACCAGCCAAGUAGCGUGAAGGAUGAAGGUCUUACGGAUUGUAAACUUCUUUUAUAAGGGAAUAAAACCUCCCACGUGUGGGAGCUUGUAUGUACCUUAUGAAUAAGCAUCGGCUAACUCCGUGCCAGCAGCCGCGGUAAUACGGAGGAUGCGAGCGUUAUCCGGAUUUAUUGGGUUUAAAGGGAGCGCAGACGGGUCGUUAAGUCAGCUGUGAAAGUUUGGGGCUCAACCUUAAAAUUGCAGUUGAUACUGGCGUCCUUGAGUGCGGUUGAGGUGUGCGGAAUUCGUGGUGUAGCGGUGAAAUGCUUAGAUAUCACGAAGAACUCCGAUUGCGAAGGCAGCACACUAAGCCGUAACUGACGUUCAUGCUCGAAAGUGUGGGUAUCAAACAGGAUUAGAUACCCUGGUAGUCCACACGGUAAACGAUGGAUACUCGCUGUUGGCGAUAUACGGUCAGCGGCUUAGCGAAA
rnacentral:rRNA from 1 species